GAAUCGCUGGUGUACCCUGUAGAGUGUAAACAAAACAUGAAAUUUGUUCUUCUGCAGUGUAUUAAUUAAUAAAAUUGAUGUUUCGACUUUUAAUUUAGAGCAUGGGGAGAUGUGUAGUUUGUGGCAAAUUGCAAAAGCACGAAAAUGUGACUUUAUACAAAUUUUCACGUGAUAAAAUACUGUGCCAAGAAUGGUUAAAAAUAAUAGGCCGGGAAGGCUGGAUACCUGCCUCGUAUAAUGCUGUGCUCCGAUCACUUCACAGAAGACAGCUUUUAUGGUUACAAUUCGAGAGUGAGGAAAAGUUUGAAACCGGAAUCAUUGCCUACGAUUUGCCCAAAAAUUAUCCUUGAAACGCAGAGGGACAUUUCAAAAAUACGAAAGGCCGAAGGACGCGAACGGUGUGCAGGACGCGAGACCGCG